CAUGCAGGCGGUCUGUUAAGCAAGAUGUGAAAGCCCGGGGCUUAACCUCGGAACAGCAUUUUGAACUGGCAGGCUAGAGUCUUGUAGAGGGGGGUAGAAUUUCAGGUGUAGCGGUGAAAUGCGUAGAGAUCUGAAGGAAUACCGGUGGCGAAGGCGGCCCCCUGGACAAAGACUGACGCUCAGAUGCGAAAGCGUGGGGAGCAAACA
rnacentral:rRNA from 1 species